rnacentral:rRNA from 1 species
AGAGUUUGAUCCUGGCUCAGAUUGAACGCUGGCGGCAGGCUUAACACAUGCAAGUCGAGCGGUAGCACAGGGGAGCUUGCUCCCCGGGUGACGAGCGGCGGACGGGUGAGUAAUGUCUGGGAAACUGCCUGAUGGAGGGGGAUAACUACUGGAAACGGUAGCUAAUACCGCAUAACGUCGCAAGACCAAAGAGGGGGACCUUCGGGCCUCUUGCCAUCAGAUGUGCCCAGAUGGGAUUAGCUAGUAGGUGGGGUAAUGGCUCACCUAGGCGACGAUCCCUAGCUGGUCUGAGAGGAUGACCAGCCACACUGGAACUGAGACACGGUCCAGACUCCUACGGGAGGCAGCAGUGGGGAAUAUUGCACAAUGGGCGCAAGCCUGAUGCAGCCAUGCCGCGUGUGUGAAGAAGGCCUUCGGGUUGUAAAGCACUUUCAGCGAGGAGGAAGGUGGUGAACUUAAUACGUUCAUCAAUUGACGUUACUCGCAGAAGAAGCACCGGCUAACUCCGUGCCAGCAGCCGCGGU